AGCUUUGCACAGUGGCAGUUUUAUAGGCAAUGAGGUUUAUCCAAGGUGUGAUUAUUGCUAAUUGAACGCUUUUCCCAAUACCCCACUGUGAUGACUUGAAAUAUACCAAUGUCAAUUUCUGACACUCUCUAUGGAGA